GACGAACGCUGGCGGCGUGCUUAACACAUGCAAGUCGAACGAAGUGGCGAACGGGUGAGUAACGCGUAAUCAACCUGCCCUUCAGAGGGGGACAACAGUUGGAAACGACUGCUAAUACCGCAUACUGAAGGAGGGGUUUGCGUCUGAUUAGCUAGUUGGGGGGGAAACGGCCAACCAAGGCGAUGAUCAGUAGGCGGGCUGGAGAGGUGAACGGCCACAAUGGGACUGAGAAACGGCCCAGACUCCGACGGGAGGCAGCAGGGGGGAAACUUCCGCAAUGGACGAAAGGCUGACGGAGCAACGCCGCGGUAGUGAUGACGGGCUUCGGGGUGGAAAGCUCUGUUAAUCGGGACGCGGUACCGGAAUAGAAAGCCACGGCUAACUACGUGCCAGCAGCCGCGGUAAUUC
rnacentral:rRNA from 1 species